rnacentral:rRNA from 1 species
UACAGAGGUCUCAAGCGUUGUUCGGAUUCAUUGGGCGUAAAGGGUGCGUAGGCGGCGCGGUAAGUCGGGUGUGAAAUCUCGGGGCUUAACUCCGAAACUGCAUUCGAUACUGCCGUGCUUGAGGACUGGAGAGGAGACUGGAAUUUACGGUGUAGCGGUGAAAUGCGUAGAUAUCGUAAGGAAGACCAGUGGCGAAGGCGGGUCUCUGGGCAACUACUGACGCUGAGGAGCGAAAGCGUGGGGAGCGAACAGG